rnacentral:rRNA from 1 species
GGCGUAAAGAGCGUGUAGGCGGGUUAUUAAGUCAGAUGUGAAAGCCUAUGGCUCAACCAUAGAACUGCAUUUGAAACUGAUAACCUAGAGUAUGGGAGAGGUAGAUGGAAUUUC